CUGCCUGCAUGGGUAAACACCAGAAAACACCCAUUAGUCACCAGAACAUGGUUCGUUAUUGCUCAUAUGGUAGAACCGUAAUCAUCUAUAAUCCAUUAUAUGUGCUGUGAAUUGUGCCACUCGACUUGGGCUCUGUGCAUCUCACUCUGAGGUCUGAAAACAGUGGCUUUUACCUGGCGUCUGAGACAUCUCCUGUGCCUCCUCCGUCUCCAUUCGGUGCAGGUACUCUAAUGGGAUAGAGAGAGACAGAGAUGUAGAUGUGUUUAAAUUGUAUCAAUGGCACAGCAGGGCUGAAAAAGACAACAUUAUAAAAAGCCACAACUGACGAAAGCUAUGACCUCUCUCUUUACAACUCUGUCACCCUGGCAAGAUCCCUUUUGUCACACCGAAAGACACACCGCUGUCCCAUUACAUUACAACGAAUUACAGACAUUUUCAUUACAUGUCUGACAGAGAGGAUGGGCUGGGAGAGUGGCUUGGCCCUGCAUGACGGGCUAUGGUGAUGAGGAGCUUUCAGACCACAUUUGUUAUUUAUUGUUAAUUUCCUGCCACCUAAUCAUCCAAAAACGCAUACUGACUGCCGCAAAAUUAAGCAGAAAAUUCAGUGGCCCAAGGUCACUGAGGAUACGGCUGUUUGUCGUGCCCAGCUGAUCGACGCUCAUGUUCACUCUAAUUUACUGAGCAUGCACCGCUGAGCGCGCCACUACCCGAGCAAAGACGUGUGCGAGAGGUGCAACCAUCAGAAACAAAGAGAGAUGAGAGAGAGAAAGAUAAUAAAGAGAGGGACCGCGAGAGAGAGAUAGAGACAGAGAUGGAGAGAGGGGGGAUACAGAGAUAGAGAGGGGAGGGAACCAAGACAGACAGGGAGUGUAUCAUAGAGCGAAAGUAAAGAGAGAGAACCAGGGGACAGAGAGAGAGAUAGAGGAAGGAGAAGGCCAAGGGGCACCAAAGUAAGUUUCUUUCGCACAAGAGGAGGGAAUUUAGUGAAGAAGAGCACAUCCCCUGGCCAGGGGCCUGCUGCAUAUCUGAGGAGUCACCAGUGCGCGUGGCCCCAUUAAUAAUGCAUCCACCUCAAGCCUGCAGCAGAUGGGCACAACAGCCUCAGCCUCGGCUCCGCCACUUCAAGAAGGCCCUUGGUGGAGCCGCUUUCCCGGCCCAGCCAGCCACACAGGGAGAAGUGAAGCUCCCUAAAAUAGCGAAGCGAGCCCGAGGGAGAAGGGGAACCUAGGCCUUCCUGUUUUACUGACAGAUGGCUCCACACAUUUGGAACAAAUAGUGGGAAGCCACCAAGCAGCCCCUGCUGCGGUCGCAACGCCCAAUGUUCAGCGGACAGGCGAGUCAAGUCAGAGGUUCGACAACCCACGAACACCCAGGACCCAAGUGGGGGAGGUGGUGGUGGGUUGGGGAGGGGGUAGGAAGGGCAGAGGUCAUUGGUGCAGAAGAUGCUGGCGCAGCGAGCACAGUGGGUGUUAGAUGCUGGUGUGUCGAUACAGGACUAGGAGGCCCUGCCGGCACCAUCAUUCUUUAGCAUCUGGAGUUUGGAGGUCGGGAGGGGGUGGUAUUCUCAUGUGCCUUUUUUUCUGGGCGGAUGGUGCGAAGGGAAAUACUGAUCGUGUUGGUGGGGGACUUUCACAGAAGUGAGAAAUGCAUUCCCAUGUUUAACCACAACACAGUUGUUAAGGCAUUCAGGAAGCUGUAUAUUCACUCAAAGUAACACUGUUAUUCCUUUUAGUUAUGCUAGAUUACAUUUAUUUGAUUUGAUUUGUUUUAUCAUCGUUUUGUUUCCUGGUUCAUUAUAAACCACAGGUGUUUGUGACAAAACCCAAUUAGUUGAAUAUCUUAAUGAUAUGUUAUGUUGUAGUUCAUUUCUUGUUGACAAUUCUCAAUAUAUUUUGUGUUUUGUGGAUGGUUUCAUUCAGCCAUUAUUUCAGAAUGACACCACCUUAGUCAAAUAUGACAAAACAAGGCACUAAGGGCAACACCUGCUUUCUGAAAGUGCCUCACAAAGGGCAGGAAGAGUCAUGGCAGUGGGUCUGAGUGCGCUCAGUAAGGGGAGGAGAGGCAGGAUGAGGGCUGUGGGUUCACAACACCCCCAGUCCUAACUCAAGGGAGUGUGUGUGUGUGUGUGUGUGUGUAUGUGUGUGUGUGUGUGUGUGUGUGUGUGUGUGUGUGUGUGUGUGUGUGUGUGUGUGUGUGUGUGUGUGUGUGUGUGUGUGUGUGUGUGUGUGUGUGUGUGUGUGUGUGUGUGUGUGUGUGUGUGUGUGUGUGUGGGAUGGAUGGCGGGUGGGGUGGAAGGGCUGUGCCGAGCAGGGUGCGAACACACGACAGGGAGCAGGGUGGAGACUGAAACAGUCAAACCGUUAAACAGCCAAAGUGCACAACAACAGCAAACUUUGGAUACUGGGAGGAAGUAAAAACCGACUGACAGGAUUUUAUAAUGUAAACUAUAAUUUGGCAACACAUAUUUCUCCUUAAAUGUCAGGAAUAUCAACAUAAAACAUAUGUGAAUAAUAUGGGGUCUAUGUGAAUGAAUAAAACAGUCAAUACAAUCUGAGGGGUGAUAUAGAACAUUAGGCUAAGUUUCUAAUAACUUUUUAGUCAAACAAGAAUUAUAUCAUAUCAGAUAUCAUUAUUGAAAUGUUUUUCCCCCCUCAAACUAUUAUAAGUAUAUGCUGCUUCUGUGAGAAGUGUGAUUCAAGACGGUACUUGAAAAUCAUAAUUUGUUUCUCCAGAAAAUCGUUCAUUUAGACAACAAAUUAAGAACAGUGACUGUUGUUGCUAAUUUAUCCCCCCAAAAUAAUGUAAUCAGCUUGAUUCAUUUCAUAUAUUUUGAUACUGAGAUGUAAAAAUGAAUAUGAAUUACUUUUUGUGUAUUGAGACCCACCUCAUUCAUUCCAGUGUGAAACAAAACAGUAUUUGUGCCACAACUCACUCAUGCCUUAGCAACGGGUUGCAAUUCAUUGCUUAAUUUACUAAUAGUAAUUGAAAUAUAUCAUGUUUUUUUUUCUUGAGGGUGAGUCCAUUUGUACAGGUUGCUGUGUUUUUAAUUUUGGAUUCGUUUUUAAAAUGAACGUUUCAUUCAAAAAAGAACUCAGCAAAUUCCUACCAUAAUAAGGCCAUCGCCCAAGUUUUCACAUUGUUUUCUCAUCUUUUCCGUAGGACAGAAACCUUUGAGGUGGCAGUGGUUUGCUUGAAAAGAGCAAACCUUGCUAUCAAAUUGAAAUGCAAGUGUUUGGCUGCCCUAAAAAAAAAAAAAAAGGCCCCCCCAUAGCCCAACUCCUGACCUGAGGCCAGACAGAGGGAAUCCUGGAUCAGAGGCGUGACCCAUGACAACGCACGCUCCAAUCAUAACCAGCAGAGGAGCAUGGUCUUCCCAGCCGUAGAGAUACCAACCUAUCCCAGUGACACAGCAGAUCUUCUCACUCAACGUGUGUGGGGCUUACACCAGGACACAAGGACACAGUCUAGUUUAAAGAGAGGUUGAAUCCAAUGUUUGUGUCACAAUGUUUGCAGGUGGUACAGUUUUGUUUUUGACCACCACUAUUUUUGAAACUUUCAGUAACGUUAAUAAAGCCAACAGGUAGAAUGCGUUUUGAUGGGGUUAUAAUGCAUUGUAAAGACAUUGAAUAAACAUGGGUAUUUAAACAAA